rnacentral:rRNA from 1 species
GACGAACGCUGGCGGCGUGCUUAACACAUGCAAGUCGAGCGAGAAACCCCUUCGGGAGUUUCUAGCGGCGGACGGGUGAGUAACACGUGGGCAACCUGCCUUACAGAGGGGGAUAGCCUCCCGAAAGGGAGAUUAAUACCGCAUAAUAUUGGAUCUUCGCAUGGAGAUUUAAUUAAAGGAGUAAUCCGCUGUAAGAUGGGCCCGCGGCGCAUUAGCUAGUUGGUGAGGUAACGGCUCACCAAGGCAACGAUGCGUAGCCGACCUGAGAGGGUGAUCGGCCACACUGGGACUGAGAUACGGCCCAGACUCCUACGGGAGGCAGCAGCUAAGAA